rnacentral:tRNA from 9 species
UGCGAGGUAGAGCAGAGGUAGCUCGUCGGGCUCAUAACCCGAAGGUCAGUGGUUCGAAUCCGCUCCUCGCUACAA